rnacentral:ncRNA from 2 species
AAUCACUACUAGGGGGUGCCUAUCAGUAUAGGCUGAGAGAAAAGCGCGAUAAAGCUUUUUAACUCUUAAGGACCUGAUCUGGCUGAUACCAGCGGAGGGAAGUAGCUAAACUAAUUU